UACGUAGGAGGCGAGCGUUGUCCGGAGUUACUGGGCGUAAAGGGUGCGCAGGCGGCGGUGCGCGUGGCGAGAUGAAAUCUCCUGGCUUACCUGGGAGGGUGGUCGCCAGACGGCAUCGCUUGAGGGUCGGAGAGGGGCGUGGAAUUCCGGGUGGAGCGGUGAAAUGCGUAGAGAUCCGGAGGAACACCGACGGCGUAGGCAGCGCCCUGGACGACGACCCUGACGCUGAGGCACGAAAGCUGGGGGAGCGGAAACAGGACUUAGGGAAACCCCUGU
rnacentral:rRNA from 1 species